AUUGAACGCUGGCGGCAUGCUUUACACAUGCAAGUCGAACGGUAACAGGCCUUCGGGUGCUGACGAGUGGCGAACGGGUGAGUAAUGCAUCGGAACGUACCCAGAGGUGGGGGAUAACGCAGCGAAAGCUGUGCUAAUACCGCAUGUGAUCUGAGGAUGAAAGCGGGGGACCGAGCAGCAAUGUUUGGCCUCGCGCCUUUGGAGCGGCCGAUGUCGGAUUAGCUAGUUGGUGGGGUAAAGGCCUACCAAGGCGACGAUCCGUAGCUGGUCUGAGAGGACGACCAGCCACACUGGGACUGAGACACGGCCCAGACUCCUACGGGAGGCAGCAGUGGGGAAUUUUGGACAAUGGGCGCAAGCCUGAUCCAGCCAUGCCGCGUGCGGGAAGAAGGCCUUCGGGUUGUAAACCGCUUUUGGCAGGAACGAAACGGUGUCCGCUAAUACCGGGCGCUAAUGACGGUACCUGCAGAAUAAGCACCGGCUAACUACGUG
rnacentral:rRNA from 1 species